UGGGGAAUUUUGGACAAUGGGCGAAAGCCUGAUCCAGCAAUGCCGCGUGUGUGAAGAAGGCCUUCGGGUUGUAAAGCACUUUUGUCCGGAAAGAAAUGGCUCUGGUUAAUACCUGGGGUCGAUGACGGUACCGGAAGAAUAAGGACCGGCUAACUACGUGCCAGCAGCCGCGGUAAUACGUAGGGUCCAAGCGUUAAUCGGAAUUACUGGGCGUAAAGCGUGCGCAGGCGGUUGUGCAAGACCGAUGUGAAAUCCCCGAGCUUAACUUGGGAAUUGCAUUGGUGACUGCACGGCUAGAGUGUGUCAGAGGGGGGUAGAAUUCCACGUGUAGCAGUGAAAUGCGUAGAGAUGUGGAGGAAUACCGAUGGCGAAGGCAGCCCCCUGGGAUAACACUGACGCUCAUGCACGAAAGCGUGGGGAGCAAACAGGAUUAGAUACCCUGGUAGUCCACGCCCUAAACGAUGUCAACUAGUUGUUGGGGAUUCAUUUCCUUAGUAACGUAGCUAACGCGUGAAGUUGACCGCCUGGGGAGUACGGUCGCAAGAUUAAAAGCUUAAAGUGAAUUUG
rnacentral:rRNA from 1 species